UACGGGGGGAGCAAGCGUUGUUCGGAUUUACUGGGCGUAAAGGGCGCGUAGGCGGCCAGCGCAAGUCAGUUGUGAAAUCUCCGGGCUUAACUCGGAACGGUCAACUGAUACUGCGCGGCUAGAGUGCAGAAGGGGCAACUGGAAUUCUCGGUGUAGCGGUGAAAUGCGUAGAUAUCGAGAGGAACACCUGCGGCGAAGGCGGGUUGCUGGGCUGACACUGACGCUGAUGCGCGAAAGCCAGGGGAGGCGAACGGG
rnacentral:rRNA from 1 species